AAUCAAUGAACUUGAAUAAGUAUAUAUUUUGAAAAUAUAAUAAAGAAUUUUAACUUCUAUUGAUUU
rnacentral:tRNA from 1 species